rnacentral:lncRNA from 1 species
CUUGGGCGGACCUAUGUGACGGACUAAGAACGGACUAAAGGAAAAAGGGUUAAAAAUGACGCGGGUCACAAAAAAAGGGGGAAAACAAAUUUGGGGCAAAUGAAUCAGAUAAUUUCCACAAAAUCCCUCUCUCUCCCCCCGACUCCCCAAAUUCAGAUAAUCAGAGCAUUUUUUCCACCAAAUCCCUCUCUGUCAAAACGAGUGUGAAGCAAACACCGGAAGGCCGAAUCCAUCAACGCUGCAUUCCAUUUCUUUUGGCCAUUUCUGCUCCUUUACACUUUUGCCCCUUUUCUGCCCUGCACAAACCCUAAUCGCAUCCAGUCACGCCCUCAUCAUCCAGAGCUACAACAACGACCUCCUCAUACGCAGGUAAUUAACAAUUUCUAGUUUUUUUCGAAAAUUAGCCUGAAAAGUUUCCGGUUUCAUUACGGUAUCUCCGGUUGCAGUUUCAUUGGCCUAUUUUUUUGAUUAUAAUCUCUUAUGCUGCACAUGUUAAAGAGGCACCAAGGCGGUUUCAGUCAUGUUCAAUUGUUCAUGUACAUACAGAGCCACACAAAGAAAAUCUCAUGCGCCACCAACGCACAAAUAUUA